rnacentral:rRNA from 1 species
UACGUAGGGGGCUAGCGUUGUCCGGAAUCAUUGGGCGUAAAGCGCGCGUAGGCGGCCAGAUAAGUCCGGUGUGAAAGUCACAGGCUCAACCUGUGAAUGCCGCUGGAAACUGUCUGGCUAGAGUCCGGAAGGGGCGAGUGGAAUUCCUGGUGUAGCGGUGAAAUGCGCAGAUAUCAGGAGGAACACCAAUGGCGAAGGCAGCUCGCUGGAACGGUACUGACGCUGAGGCGCGAAAGCUAGGGGAGCGAACAGG